AGAGAAAGCAAAUAAGUCAUAGUGUCCACCCAGAAGGUGGGCCUCUCCUCAGGGGAGAAAGUCACCUGUGCUCCUAGUUUGGAGAGCAAGUCUCUUCCCAACAGGGGUACUGGGCACUCGGGAACACAGAGGAAUUCAUGAAGCACUUGGUGCCCCCUCAUCUGGCAUUUUCUGGGCUGGCAGAACGAUCUAAUCACGUCUUCUCCCGAUACCCAGUACUCACCGGGAGAGGCGGAGAGGCGGGUAUAGCUUGGGCGGUUCGGCUGGAGCCGGAUCCUGGAAGUGUUGGCCAGAGGCUUCUGUCACCGGGAUUCGAGCCUGCGGAGGUGGUGGCUCUAUGACCUCGGGGAGAGCUGGCGGAGGAGCAGCGGCUGCUGCAGGAACUUCACCUGGCCCUGGAUCGGGAAUUAAGGCGGCCUCCGGUCCUGGUGGAGCACUGGGAGGCAGACCUUCUCCUACUUUUCGUUCUGUCUACGAAGUUCUCGGUACCCUAUGUACUUCUGAUACUUCCACUCAAUCAAACACUUAAAUUGCC
ensembl:lncRNA